AAUAAGAUGCCUGACUUAAGGGCCACCUUGAUAGGGUGGAACAUGUGGUAACAACCACUCUUAUUA
rnacentral:tRNA from 1 species